rnacentral:rRNA from 1 species
UUUAUAGCGGAGGAAGAACCAACCGGGAUUCCCCGAGUAAGGGCGACUGAAAGGGGACCAGCCCAGCGCAUAACCUCGCGGUCCUGUACGGCCGUCGAGGGGUGUUGCGUUUCGGUGGAUCCGUACCGCUCGAGCUGCUCACCGCCUAAGUCAUUGCUUGAAUGCAGCCCCGAGGAGGGUGGUAGGCCCGUGUGGCGGCGCCUGUAAAAAGGUUUUAGGCAGCUUGGGCGGAGGGGUCUUUACCGUAGAGUCGGGUUGCUUAGUACUGCAGCCCUAAGUAGGUGGUAAACUCCAUCUAAGGCUAAAUACUACCACGAGUCCGAUAUUUGACAAGUACCGUGAGGGAAAGCUGAAAAGGACUCUGAAGAGAGAGUUCAAGAGGACGUGAAACCAUUAGAAGCUCAAACGGGUGGAACCGUGAAGGUCGAAAGAGGGGAUUCAGCUGGCGGGGUGCGGGCGGCAACCGCGGUUCAAGUUGCUUUUCAGUGAGAGGACCCGGCGACGCAGUUAGUUGCCGCGGCCCCGUGGUUGUCGCCCCGCGGCCUGCGGGCUUAUUUCUCCCUCGAGUAGAGUUGGUGGCGACCCGCUGCUUAGGCUCCGAGGGCCGUUUCGGACUGGUAGCCCGCGCCUCGGCGCGGGUGAUGACCGACGACGGUCCUGACCGGGCCUGAGCGGCGGUCACUGCAAGGAGGCCGCGGAGAGAAGACGCGGCCUCUCACCACCUGAGAGUGAAGGCAUCACCUGUCAUGAGAAACAAGAGACACACGA